AGAGAUACGGAGGUAGAGCACUGAAUGUCCUAGGGGGUAUUGCACCUACCGAAGACUAUCAAACUCCGAAUGCCGUCAUCUUAUACUUGGGAGUCAGACUGUGGGUGAUAAGAUUCAUAGUCGAAAGGGCAACAGCCCAGAUCGUCAGCUAAGGUCCCUAAAUGUAAGUUAAGUGGUAAAGGAUGUGGGAUUGCACAGACAACCAGGAUGUUGGCUUAGAAGCAGCCACUCAUUCAAAGAGUGCGUAAUAGCUCACUGGUCGAGUGAUCCUGCGCCGAAGAUUUCCGGGGCUAAAACUUACUACCGAAGCUACGGCAUCAUUAUGAUGGGUAGGGGAGCUUCCCAUACGGGUUGAAGCAUGACCGUAAGGACAUGUGGACAGUAUGGGAGUGAGAAUGUUGGCAUGAGUAGCGAGAUGUGGGUGAGAAUCCCACAGGCCGUAAACCCAAGGUUUCCAGGGGAAGGUUCGUCCGCCCUGGGUUAGUCGGGACCUAAGCUGAGGCCGAAAGGCGUAGGUGAUGGACAACAGGUUGAUAUUCCUGUACUACCGAUAACCGUUUGAGAGAUGGGAUGACACAGUAGGAUAAGCUAAGCACACUGUUGGUUAUGUGUGCCCAAGCAUUGAGGCAGUCAGAGUAGGUAAAUCCGCUUUGAUAAUGCUGGGAUGUGAUGGGGAGCGAAAUUUAGUAGCGAAGUAGCUGAUUUCACACUGUCAAGAAAAGUCUCUAUCGAGGUUAAAGGUACCCGUACCGCAAACCGACACAGGUGGGUGAGGAGAGUAUCCUAAGGCCCGCGAGAGAACUGUUGUUAAGGAACUCGGCAAAAUGACCCCGUAACUUAGGGAUAAGGGGUGCCACCAUCCGGUGGCCGCAGAGAAUAGGCCCAAGCGACUGUUUACCAAAAACAUAGGUUUCUGCUAAGUCGCAAGACGAUGUAUAGGAGCUGACGCCUGCCCGGUGCUGGAAGGUUAAGGGGAUCUGUUAGAGCAAUCGAAGCAGUGAACUUAAGCCCCAGUAA
rnacentral:rRNA from 1 species